GCCUGCGCGGAGUUUACUUAGCGACGAAGAAUUGGAGAUAAACAAACCCGCGGCCUCCAUCGUCCCCAGCGCCAGCGUAUGUCUCGAUUUCCAGCUUACACACGGCGUUACCGGUGGUGGCCCGCCUUGGGCUGAGUUCCAACGAUGUUCUGGACCUAUCUUGCCUAAAAUAUCGCGAUAUCUUUAUCUUCAAGUGGAUUUACGUGUUACUUUCCCGACCUCAACAUGAAGCUGUGCGCAGUAGUGAAUUGCAGCAAUUCAACUUACCAUCUAGAAAAAUGGAAGAGACAUGCCAAAUACAUGUUGAGAAAGCUGUGGUGAACUGGUGUAGUUGACUCCUUCGUGCCUGCACCACGGGUGCUCCCAGUGAUGGUCUAAGUACUAGUACUUAAGUUUAGAUCUUUUCCACUGACUGUUGACCAUAAGAUCAGGUGUAUGUAGAGAACUCCAGUCAUUUACACUACUUACACCAAACACCUGACCCCUGCGUUUGGAUCUUGAAAGUGGAAUAUUUAAUUUGUAACUACUCUCUUGUUGUUUUUCUGACCAAACACAAGAAAAACAAGUCAGUUAACUGCAUCGACAGUACUACAUACUCACUCACAUUCACUAUCCGGUUUAUUGUCUAAAUACUAAAUAAUAUUUGCUAGACAGCAUAGGUUGUACGAUGGCGAUUACUAGAUUACUGUAAACAUUCACACUGUGAUAGAAAACAUACAAGCACCGUUAAACAUAAACUUACUGUGUUAACACACAAACAGCUCUGCAAUCAAAG